rnacentral:rRNA from 1 species
UACGGGGGGGAGCAAGCGUUGUUCGGAUUUACUGGGCGUAAAGGGCGCGUAGGCGGCCAGCACAAGUCAGUUGUGAAAUCUCCGAGCUUAACUCGGAAAGGUCAACUGAUACUGUGCGGCUAGAGUGCGGAAGGGGCAACUGGAAUUCUUGGUGUAGCGGUGAAAUGCGCAGAUAUCAGGAGGAACACCGGUGGCGAAGGCGGGUCUCUGGGCCGUAACUGACGCUGGAGGAGCGAAAGCGUGGGGAGCGAACAGG